UACAUAGGGUGCAAGCGUUAUCCGGAAUUAUUGGGCGUAAAGAGCUCGUAGGCGGUUUGUCGCGUCUGCUGUGAAAACUGGAGGCUCAACCUCCAGCCUGCAGUGGGUACGGGCAGACUAGAGUGCGGUAGGGGAGAUUGGAAUUCCUGGUGUAGCGGUGGAAUGCGCAGAUAUCAGGAGGAACACCGAUGGCGAAGGCAGAUCUCUGGGCCGUAACUGACGCUGAGGAGCGAAAGCAUGGGGAGCGAACAGG
rnacentral:rRNA from 1 species